rnacentral:rRNA from 1 species
AUGCAAGUCGAAUGCCGAUUUAUCGGCAUGGCAGACGGCUGAGUAAUACAUGGGAAUCUACCUCAAACUCGAGAAUAGCCCAUCGAAAGGUGGUGUAAUACUCGAUAGUUCCGUUUACGGUAAAGCUCCGGCGGUUUGAGAUGAGCCCAUGUCCUAUCAGGUUGUUGGUAGGGUAAUUGCCUACCAAGCCUAUGACAGGUAGCUGGUUUGAGAGGAUGAUCAGCCAGACUGGGACUGCGAUACGGCCCAGACUCCUACGGGAGGCAGCAACUAGGAAUCAUGCGCAAUGGACGAAAGUCUGACGCUGCGACGUCGCGUGAGGGAUGAAGGUCUUCGGAUCGUAAACCUCUUUUAUCUGGGAACAAGUUCUGAGUGUACCAGAUGAAUAAGUGCCUGCCAACCACGUGCCAGAAGCAUCGGUAAUGCGUGGGGCACGAGCGUUAUCCGGAUUUACUGGGCGUAAAGAGAUGCGUAGGCGCCUUUUUAAGUCACUUGUAAAAUCUCCCCGCUCAACGGGGAAACUGCAAGUGAUACUGAAUUGGUUGAGUCAAGUAGAGGAGAGGGGAAUUCCUGGUGGAGCGGUUAAAUGCGUUGAUAUCAGGAGGAAUACCAAGUGCGAAGGCACCUCUCUGGACUUGUACUGACGCUAAGGCUCGAAAGUGUGGGGAGCAAAACGGAUUAGAUACCCGUGUAGUCCACACUGUAAACGAUCCCUGCUAGAUGUUUGC